rnacentral:rRNA from 1 species
UACGGAGGAUCCGAGCGUUAUCCGGAUUUAUUGGGUUUAAAGGGUGCGCAGGCGGGAGAUUAAGUCGGCGGCGAAAUUUAGCAGCUCAACUGUAAAAGUGCCUUCGAAACUGGUUUCCUUGAGUGUAGAUGAAGUAGGCGGAAUUUGUGGUGUAGCGGUGAAAUGCUUAGAUAUCACGAGGAACUCCGAUUGCGCAGGCAGCUUACUAAACUACUACUGACGCUCAGGCACGAAGGCGUGGGGAUCAAACAGGAUUAGAUACCCUGGUAGUCCCU